UCCGUAGGUGGAUAAUUAAGUCAGAGGUGAAAUCCUGCAGCUCAACUGUAGAAUUGCCUUUGAUACUGGUUAUCUUGAAUUAUUGUGAAGUGGUUAGAAUAUGUAGUGUAGCGGUGAAAUGCAUAGAUAUUACAUAGAAUACCAAUUGCGAAGGCAGACAACUAACAAUAUAUUGACACUGAUGGACGAAAGCGUAGGGAGCGAACAGGAUUAGAUACCCUGGUAGUCA
rnacentral:rRNA from 1 species